rnacentral:rRNA from 1 species
UACGGGGGGGGCAAGCGUUGUUCGGAAUUACUGGGCGUAAAGGGUUCGUAGGUGGCUCGCUAAGUCAGACGUGAAAUCCCUCAGCUUAACUGGGGAACUGCGUCUGAGACUGGCGAGCUCGAGUGCAGGAGAGGAACGCGGAAUUCCAGGUGUAGCGGUGAAAUGCGUAGAUAUCUAGAGGAACACCGGUGGCGAAGGCGGCGUUCUGGACUGCAACUGACACUGAGGGAACGAAAGCCAGGGGAGCAAACGGG